UUUUUCAACCAUGCAAUGAUGAUGAUAGUAUAUUACCGUGAUUAAUUUUCAUAAUAAUCCAGUUGAACAAGUAUCUAAGGUGGUAGAGGUUGACGUUAAAGAUCUUUUAACUGCUCUAAGUAAGCGUAUAAUUGCAGCCAAUGGAGAAGUAUUGCAAAAAGCUCACACUUUAUCGCAGACUGAAUAAAGGAAGAGAUGCAUUAGCAAAAGCAAUUUAUAAUCGGUUGUUCGCUUAGAAUUUAGAUAGUUAGUAGGGUCAAUGAAGCAUUAAUACCAUAUAUUGAAAAUGAUAAGUACAAAGGAGGAACUGUAAUUGGAGUAUAAGAUAUUUAUGGAUUUGAAGUAUUUGAACAAAAUAGCUUUGAACAAUUUUAUAUUAAUUACUGAAACGAAAAUUUCCAACACGUAUUCAUAGGUAUUUUUGAUAAAGAAUCAUUAAUUUUUAAUUUGUGAUCUUGUGGAAAAGCCACAUAAAGGCAUGAUUGCAAUUAUGGAUGAAGCUUGUCUGAAUGUAGGAAAAGUAAACGACGAAAUGUUAUUAGAAGCCAUGGAUUCAAAACUUUCUAACCAUAAAGAUUAUUCAAUUAGGCAGGUGAAUACAUAGGAUAAAGAUUUGAAACAUGAC